AUGAAUAUGUUAUGUAUCAUGAUGAUCUGUCCACACUCCACAGAUACUUUUGAUGUAGAGCCACAACGAGUUACUGUGCAGGUGGAGCACCUUGAUGAGAAAAAUGUAAUUGUUGAUAAUGAUGAUGUUGCUCCAGAUGCACAGGUUGAUGAUAAUGUUGAUGAUGCUCCAUAUACAGAGGUUCAUGAUGAUGAUGUUGUGCAGCACUCACCCCUGUUUUGCAGCGAUAAGUUCAGUCUCUUGCAGUCGUCAGAACAAAGAGUCAUUAAGAAACCUAAACGCCUAAUUGAAGAGUGUGACAUUGUUCAUUAUGCUUUCAGUUGUGCAGAACAGGUUGAGAACAUCCAUGAGCUGUCCACAUACACUGAAGCAGUUGCUUCCGGUGACCGCGAGAACUGGAUUGCUGCUAUGCAGGAAGAGAUGUCCCGCUAUUUAGAACAUUGCGUUUGCCUAAACAAAAGAACACCAUUCGCUGCAAAUGGACCUUCAAAAGAAAGGAGGGUUUGCCUCCUAGUGAGCCCGCGAGGUUUAAGGCAAGGUUAG
rnacentral:rRNA from 1 species